UGGAGCUGAAUGUUCAGACGCUUGAGGGUC
rnacentral:piRNA from 1 species